UGAGAGGAGCCUGAGUGGCUCAGUUGGUUAAGAAUCUGACUUUGGCUCAGAUCAUGAUCUCCUGGUUCAUGAGUUUGAGGCCUGCACUGGUCUCAGUGCUGACAGAUCAAAGCCUGGAGCCUGCUUUGAAUUCUGUGUUUCACUCUCUCUCUCUGCCCCUCUGCUGCUGGCACUCAGUCUCUCUCUCUCUCUC